rnacentral:ribozyme from 1 species
AAAAAAAAAAAAAAAAAAAAGAUAAACAUCCAUGUCCGUCAAUCCAUGUCCAUCAGGAGAUCCAGCAGGAGGAAGAGGUGCUGAUAAAAUCUAUACAAAACUUGUAACAAAGAAGACGUAUUGAACAAAAAGCAACGC